rnacentral:tRNA from 1 species
GCCGGCGUAACUCAGUUGGUAGAGUAUCUCACUCGUAAUGAGAAAGUCCGCGGUUCGAAUCCGCGCGCCGGCUCCA